GCUUUUUUUGCUAAACGCCACUGAGAUGAGCAUAGAAGACGAUAUGGUUUGGGUCAGACCUGUCGUCGUGUUUUUGGUCAGUUCCGGUUAGUCGUUGCUGAAUAUUGGCGUUAGGGUUCGUCACCGAAGGCUACUUAUGGAUUGCAAUGAUCAGCAAAAUUCCGAUCGGUUCGCUAUAAUGGCUCUGGGACAAAUACUGGCCAAACAAUGGAUCUACUUCACCACGAGCCAGUACCACGGAGAUCUGCAUUUUGAGGUAACUUGGCUGGUCACGUGUAUUCUUGGGUAAUUAACACAUAUUAAGGGAUGUUAUUGCUUGAGAAUACACGUAGCUGACAAGUGACACCAACAACGUAUCCAUAUAGAUGUCGUGUGAGUUGGUGAGCUGUUUUUGGCACUCCCUGGCCUGAAGGAAUUACUCUGACAGGACGUUCGAGCAUAAGGACUAUCGAACGAUCUCCGCUUGAGAAGCGUUAUUUGUUAGUAGGGACUCUAGUGUUAAAAUAUUGGACACCGCAAAGCAUGAUAGAACUGUUUUUACACUAUUAGGUUUAGCAAUAAACUAUAGUGAAGUUCCUUUCCAAAGCCAAUCUUGAUCCGCAUCACUACUUCUUUUUUCAGUGAUAAUGUCAGCAUUAAGUUGCCAAUAUCCUUCCCAAGAUAUGAAAUUUGGAUAAUCAAAAUAAAAAAAUUAAUAUCCUGCCUAGCCUGAUUGGCUAGCUGCGUUUUAUUCGCUUAGGCUUUCAUGCGAUGCAAAGUGUAUUUGCAUUUUGUGUUUACUGAUAUAUCUUACCCCUAAUGUCAAUAAAUGUAUAAAUAUAUAAACUCCAUGUAUUGCCAAAACUAACUCAGUUUUUACGUAUGACGCUUUACUAUCCAAACUACGUUAUCGAACAUUAUAAAACUGUAUUUCGUCCAUUUCUAAAAUGUAUUGGCGAUCACUUUUUUCCUGUAAUCUGUGAUUUUUGUAUAAUAAAAUAAA